CAGCUAUAUCAACUUGAAAUACCAAUUCUCAUUAGAUCACUGAAGUUAAGCAACACUGAGCCUGGUCAGUAUUCAGAUGGGUGGCCACUGGGAAGUACCAGAUGCUGUAA